rnacentral:rRNA from 1 species
CAGUAGCCACGGGAAUACAGAGGGUGCAAGCGUUAAUCGGAAUUACUGGGCGUAAAGCGCGCGUAGGUGGUUUGUUAAGUUGGAUGUGAAAUCCCCGGGCUCAACCUGGGAACUGCAUCCAAAACUGGCAAGCUAGAGUAUGGUAGAGGGUGGUGGAAUUUCCUGUGUAGCGGUGAAAUGCGUAGAUAUAGAAAGGAACACCAGUGGCGAAGGCGACCACCUGGACUGAUACUGACACUGAGGUGCGAAAGCGUGGGGAGCAAACAGGAUUAGAUACCCCCGUAGUCCCUGUCUCUUAUAC